CUCACUCUUCUCUCCACUCCCCAAAU
rnacentral:piRNA from 2 species